AAAAUCAUAUUAUAUCAUUAGGCGGUUUGACAAUUUAGCAUUUGAUCUUAUUCUACUUCCCUAACAUGGGAGUAGAUGUAGAUACCACGAUGAGGAAAGAUUGCUCUUUUCCCUGAGCGUGAGAACGACACGAGUUCUUGACUUGUUUCGAGAACUCUGUCAUCGAUGACCGUUCACUCUUUGCGCUUAGCGCUGCAGUGAGGAUGGGAAGUAGAGCUUUUUCUGAGUGGU